AUUGAACGCUGGCGGAAUGCUUUACACAUGCAAGUCGAACGGCAGCACGGGGGCAACCCUGGUGGCGAGUGGCGAACGGGUGAGUAAUACAUCGGAACGUGCCCAGUCGUGGGGGAUAACUACGCGAAAGCGUAGCUAAUACCGCAUACGAACUCUGGUUGAAAGCGGGGGAUCGCAAGACCUCGCGCGAUUGGCGCGGCGGAUGGCAGAUUAGGUAGGUGGUGGGGUCAAGGCUCACCAAGCCGACGAUCUGUAGCUGGUCUGAGAGGACGACCAGCCACACUGGGACUGAGACACGGCCCAGACUCCUACGGGAGGCAGCAGUGGGGAAUUUUGGACAAUGGGCGCAAGCCUGAUCCAGCCAUUCCGCGUGCAGGAUGAAGGCCCUCGGGUUGUAAACUGCUUUUGUACGGAACGAAACGCGCCGGGUUAAUACCCUGGCGUAAUGACGGUACCGUAAGAAUAAGCACCGGCUAACUACGUGCCAGCCGCCGCGGUAAGAC
rnacentral:rRNA from 1 species